GACGAACGCUGGCGGCGUGCCUAAUACAUGCAAGUCGAACGCAGUGGGGACGGGUGAGUAACACGUGGGUAACCUCCCAUCAGAGGGGAUAACACUUGGAAACAGGGGCUAAACCGAUACUGAUGGAAGGACACGCGGUGCAUUAGCAAGUUGGUGAGGUAACGGCUCACCAAGGCCACGAUGCAUAGCCGACCUGAGAGGUUUAUCGGCCACCCUUGGACUGAGACACGGCCCAGACUCCUACGGGAGGCAGCAGUAGGGAAUCUUCGGCAAUGGACGAAAGUCUGACCGAGCAACGCCGCGUGAUUGAAGAAGGUUUUCGGAUCGUAAAACUCUGUUGUUAGAGAAGCGGUAUCUAACCAGAAAGCCACGGCUAGCUACGUGCCAGCCGCCGCGGUAAUUC
rnacentral:rRNA from 1 species